AGCUCGGCGCUGACAGGGCGGCGCGCGGAGGCGCUGCUGGACGGGACGGGCGGCUCCUGCCCGCCGCAGAUGAGUUCAGGGAGACUGGUUUAAGCAGUGCAGAAGUUCAUGGAUGGAAGAAGAGUCCUCGUUUCAGAGCACCUAAACAUGAAGAUUUUGUAAACGCCAUUAGGAGAACUGGCGUGCAGGAGGAAUGGAUCUCAUCUGUCUGCUGUGAUUCUUGACCCACCUAAUUGGCUAAUGGCCAUGAGCAAUAACAGCGUGGCUCAGGGGAGCGGCGCUGGGGCAGAGAAGCACUGUGCUGUGCUGAAGGCAUUGCGUGUGGACCAUAUGCUCUGUCCUUACAGUGCUCGGCAUGAAAAAGGAAGCAAGUCGCUGUCCGAAAGGCAGUGAGGUUGCUGUGGGGAUGAAGACCCUCUCUUCCUCUCAUCAGAUCAGUGGAUGUACUGCUGCAGGGCAGUAGGAGAAAGUGCAGCUGUUACAUCAGUGCAGUGACUGCAUGGUAGCGUGGACUGGAGAAAGAAAGGUGGAAGAAAGCAGAAGCUGUUUGCAUGAAAGUGUUCUAGGCGUGAAGAACUCAGCUGCCUCUUAGGGCCAGUUGAUGUGAGGUGCUUUGUGUGUGGGAGGCAGAAAAGACAGAAGCCAACUAGAGAUCUGCUGUGAGCUGCAGAAAUCUGGAGGUGCACUGUGAUGGCUUUACUGUGGGAAUACAAUUACUCUGUUGGAAGCUCGGUUGUCCUGCAGCCUUCUGGGGAUACAAAGCUCAGGUCUUUUCACUGACCAGUCCAUGAAGCUGCUUGCUUAGCUAAACAAAAUCUCAGGUAAUGGUUUUGGGAAAACAUGCUGUGGGAGCUCUUCAAUUCUGGCAGCCGUUGCAUCUGUUUCUGCUCUUUUUUCCAUGAUGUUUUUGUUUGUUUGUUGUUUUUUUUUCUUUUUCUUUUUAGAAGUUACAUAGCAGUGUAACAGCUUCAAGUUCAGCCAUGUGCCCUAAGUAAUGAGCUGUGUGAUAAUGAGUGAUGUGUGAUUCCUACUGGCUAACACGUUGGCUCAUGUUGACAAUUCAUAGUAGAUAACAGGGCUGUGUAAAUGUUACCUCUGAAUGCACUAUUAAGAGGCAAUGUUUUUAUGGAGCAAGGUGCAAUUGCAGCAGAGAGCAGUGAUUUGUAUGAAAUAGUUUGUCCAUUGAGCUCAUGUCACUGGCAGAAGGAAACUAAUGAAGUGCAAGCUAGUGAAAUGCAGUAACUAGAAGCUGUGAGUAAGAAUGCUAACUGUAUGUAAAACUUUCUCUUCUAGAUCCUGCCAUUGAUGACCAAACCUCCCUGAAAUCUUCUUAUCAGUUGCUGCCAAGAUGAGAAGGAUAGCAGGAAAGAGGAGUGUGUUAUUGCUCUCACUAAGCAAGGAAGUUGAACUGUUUUCCUGAGCACACCCAGAAUUAAUUCAGCCCAAGCUGAUCAUGUUAUCACAUGCUGGUUACUGCUGGCCCGGGUCAUUCUGAUGGAAGAGCAGGAAGCACACAGACCAGCUGCACCAAUGGCUUACCUGGGAAGGGGUGUCACCAACAGGGGAGUUGUGGAGCUGGUGGUGGUUUGGUGUUUUCAGCAGGUGCAGCUGCAUCUCUAAGCUCGCGGUGUGGAGCACCCUGCCAAGCACACUGCUCCUCUGAGCUGCAGUGAGAAGUGGAUGACCAGUGCUGCACACAGCUAAGCACACAGCCUUAUCAGCAAGCGUGCUUUAGGUAGGUACGGGUGCAAAGUGCUUUCCUGAAGGAGCAGGCAGGGGUGGAAAAUAUCGGAAGGCCAGGUUCUUCUGCUGUGACUCCUUACAGCAAGCCCAGCGCCGGGCUGACACUGUCAGCAGCAGCCACACCUCUGCCAGCCCCAGACGGUGCCAGGUGGGUGGAAGCCUGGGAUCAGUGGGAAGGGACACAGCAGGGAAGGCAAACAUGCUGUUGUUUUCUGAACGCUUCCAGGUUAAAGCACGGCCAUCUUCAUCUCCACGCUGAGAGAGAGGAAGUCGCAGAGUCACACUGUUGAGCAGCACAGAGGCUGGAGCUAUUUGGCUUAAGACCAUCAUGCUUUCACUUCCGUAUUUUGGGACAUUUAAACUGUUAAACUCUAAGCACUUUUCAGGCAUUACGUUUGACUUACUGUUAUUACGUACAAUAAAAUAUAACAGAACACAAUAUUAAAGUCUGUGCCAAAAGAAUAUUAUUUGGUGGCUACAAAUAAAGAAUGCAGACAAGUUUUUAAGAUCUGUUUGGGUUUUCAUUUUUUUGCUAAUUCUUUAAAGGAAGUGUUGUAAUUAUUAGCAUUAUUUUUAAUACAGGAAAAAAAAGUGUUCCUUACUGGGAAGUGUAAGAUACAGUAGUAUACUGUUGUCUUAUAUUUCUAGGGCUGUAUUAAAUAAACUGAAAAUAUACACUUGUUAAU